CAAGAUCAAUCGUAAUGAACAGUCCAGAUUUGCUCACGCAAUUGGCCUAAACAGGUAAUGAUCGUAUGACUCUCCUUGUUCAACGUCGGCGUGAAUGGACAACCCAGAUCGACGCAUAAUAGGUAUUUAAAUAUUGGGUCGCAUGAGAACCCUAACCGUAGUCGCACAUGCCCUCGUUAUAGAAGAAAAAUCAGCCGCCGGAGAAGGAGACUGACCCCCAGCCGUCGCCGCACCGGAGCCACCACCGACCGCCAAAAAAGGUAAAAAAUUCUUCUUCCCUCUCAUAAUUUGAUUUCGAGUUUACCUAUGACCAUAUCAAAGCAAAUGAGAUGAUGGGUGAGUCGAAAAUCGCGGACAAAGUCAUAUGUAGCCACCGCGGCCGAAACUUUAAAAUUUCUUCGAUGAGCCCCUUCUCAUUUCCUGUUUCACACAAUUUUUCGAUCAUUUUGUUCACCAUACUUUUUUGUGCAGGUUAGCCGAAUGAGAAAUUUCAGCCGCAAAGGAGAACCGACAAAGCCACUGCACCAAGAGACCCCCCACCAGCAGAUUCAGUUUCUUUCAAUUUUUUUGUCAACCGAGGUCCCCUAACGUAUUUUUCCGCAUGGAUAUGUAGAAAAUUGGCCAAAACUGGUCAGGUUGAGGUGCACCGACGCUGUGGGCAGCAGAACCAGCGUCGGAGCAAGGCACCACCGCCAUGCUAUA
rnacentral:lncRNA from 1 species